GCCCAUUGUCUAUGGAUAGCUCAGUCGGUAAAGCAUGAGACUCAAACUCAGGGUCAUGGGUUUGAGCUCCACGAUGGGCG